rnacentral:rRNA from 1 species
CGUCCUACGGGACGCAGCAGUGGGGGAUAUUGCACAAUGGGGGAAACCCUGAUGCAGCGACGCCGCGUGGGUGAAGAAGCGCCUCGGCGCGUAAAGCCCUGUCAGCAGGGAAGAAAAUGACGGUACCUGAAGCAGAAGCCCCGGCUAACUACGUGCCAGCAGCCGCGGUAAUACGUAGGGGGCAAGCGUUAUCCGGAUUUACUGGGUGUAAAGGGGGCGCAGACGGCGAUGCAAGUCCGGAGUGAAAGCCCACGGCCCAACCG